CUCCUCUCAGGGUCACAUCUGGAGAGUUCCCAGUACUCUACCGGUCUUGACUACUGGAGGGAGAGUCAGGUAGAGGCUUACCCGUUCCAUUCCUAGCUUGAGCAGUGGCUAGUGAGUAGGAGGUAUUCUGCUACGAGU
rfam:Ornithorhynchus anatinus chromosome 4, whole genome shotgun sequence.